GACGAACGCUGGCGGCGUGCUUAACACAUGCAAGUCGAACGGAAAGGCCUCUUUCGGGGGGUACUCGAGUGGCGAACGGGUGAGUAACACGUGAGUAACCUGCCCUUGACUUUGGGAUAACUUCAGGAAACUGGGGCUAAUACCGGAUAGGAGCUCCUGCUGCAUGGUGGGGGUUGGAAAGUUUCGGCGGUUGGGGAUGGACUCGCGGCUUAUCAGCUUGUUGGUGGGGUAGUGGCUUACCAAGGCUUUGACGGGUAGCCGGCCUGAGAGGGUGACCGGCCACAGUGGGACUGAGAUACGGCCCAGACGCCGACGGGAGGCAGCAGUGGGGAAUAUUGCACAAUGGGUGGAAGCCUGAUGCAGCAACGCCGUGUGCGGGAUGACGGCCUUCGGGUUGUAAACCGCUUUCGCUCAUGACGAAGCUUUGUGUGACGGUAGUGGGUAAAGAAGCACCGGCUAACUACGUG
rnacentral:rRNA from 1 species